rnacentral:lncRNA from 1 species
GCAGAGGACUUUUCCUCGCCUGGAGCUUCCGCCGGCGAAGUGAUUUCACCGGAGGCAGACGGACCCACCGUCGAACCUGACGGAGCACCUCCGGAGGGACCCAUCGCCGAGGCUGAGGGAGCAUCCCCGGAAGGACCCAUCGCCGAGGCUGAGGGAGCAUCUCCGGAAGGACCCAUCGCCGAACCUGACGGGGCAUCUCCCGAGGGACCCAUCUCCGACGGCGAGUAUGCUGACGGAGAAUCUGACGGCGAAUAAGAAACAGAGGAAGGAGAUCCUGCGGGAGACGAAGAUGGGGAUCCGGCGGAAGAAGAUUUUGGUGCCAUUGAUCCUGACGGUGAAUAACCCGGUGCAUACGACGGAGGAGCUGGCGGAGAAGUCACCGGAGAAGUUGCCGGAGAAACAGGGGAAGAUGAUUUAGGUGACAUUGAUCCCGGCGGUGAAGAACCCGGUGCAUACGACGGAGGAGCUGGCGGAGAAGUUGCCGGAGAACCAGCGGAGGAAGAUUUAGGUGGCAUUGAACCCGGCGGAGAAGUCACCGGAGAAGACGACGGAGAACCAGGGGAAGAUGAUUUAGGUGACAUUGAUCCCGGCGGAGAAGAUGACGGAGAACCAGGGAAUGAGGAUUUAGGUGGCAUUGAUCCCGGCGGAGAAGUCAUCGGAGCAGAGGACGGAGAACCAGGGGAAGAGGAUUUAGGUGGCAUAGGUGCGGGUGGAGAAGUCGACGGAGACAUAUGAGAGGAAGAUUUAGGUGCCAUUGAACCUGGUGGAGAAGUUGCCGGAGACUUAGCGGAGGAUGAUUUAGGUGGCAUUGAUCCCGGCGGAGAAGUCACUGGAGAAGAAGACGGAGAAACAGGGGAAGAUGAUUUAGGUGGUGUAUGUGCCGGUGGAGACGUCGCCGGAGAAACAGGGGAUGAAGAUGAUUUAGGUGGCAUUGUUCCCGGUGGAGAAGUCACCGGAGAAACAGGGGAAGUAGAUUUAGGUGGCAUAGGUGCCGGUGGAGAAGUCGCCGGAGAAACAUGGGAAGAAGACUUAGGUGGCAUUGAUCCCGGCGGAGAAGUCACCGGAGCAGAAGACGGAGAAACAGGGGAAGAAGAUUUAGGUGGCGUAGGUGCGGGUGGAGAAGUCGCCGGAGAAACAGGGGAAGAGGAUUUAGGUGGUGUGUGUGCGGGUGGAGAAGUGGCCGGAGAAACAUGGGAAGAAGACUUAGGUGGAAUUGAUCCCGGAGGAGAUUUUCCCGGUGAUGCUGCUUGAGGAGGAGCCGGAGUUCUAACGGACAAGACAACGACAGUAAGCUUUUGUCCCUUCUUACAGUUAUCUUCAUUGCCACUGAUGAAGUAAAAUGGACCAGAGCGUUC